AGUCCCAGUAGGCUUUACCCAGUCCCAGUAGGCCAAGCCGCUUCCUUUGGCUCUUUGUAAUGCGCUGAAGGCGUGAGUGUAACUUUACUCAGGGCAAACGGGGACACCCAGGACAAGGGCUCAGUGUGAGAGCAGUCUGUCAAGUUCACUGACCCACACUCAGCCCUGCAAACCUGCGGCGAAACCCGAGGUGCGGGGAGGUGUGAGCUUCAAUGGGACCGCCGGAAGGAGCGUGCAGGGGGGAAGGCACUCUACCAACAGAGAGAACCUUCCAAAAUUUGGAUGGACGAACGACGACACCCGUAGCCAGAAACUAGCACUUUUGAAAGAAACCACAGGGCAGCCACACAGCGAAGAGGUCCCGAAACUUGACGCUGCUUUGGUUUAUCCUGCAUAGGAGCGACAACACGUUCUGACACCUCGGAACAGCAGCCUCAUCUCGCCGCAUCCUGCCUCGCGGCAUAUCCCUCCUCGGGAGAAGCCGUCGCUGCCCCUCACCCCGGCUCCGGCCCAUCCCGGCCAGGCGAAGCCCCGGCACGACGGGGAUGUCACGUCGGGGCCCUCCGCACCCCACAAAAGCCGAGCCCCGGCUGAAGCCCCCCCAGCCGCACGGCCCCGCGGGCGGGAAGCGCCGCGCUUACCUGGAGAGCAGCGCAGAGCAGAGCAGACGCGGCACGGCUGGCCGGCAGCAACGGAGGGUCGGGGAGGAGCCAGAAGGCGGGGGAGCGGCUGAAAGGGGCCGGGCAACGAAUCCACCUGAGGGCACCUGCCCGCCCCCUCCUCCGGCCGGGCGGCGGGCCCCCUGCCUUCCUCCCGUCCUCUCUUCCUCCUCCUUCUCCUCCCUCGCCCUUAUGCAAAACAAACACGCCGCAGGGAAGCGAGCAACGAGAGCUAUCGGCCCUUCCCUGAAGGGGGUAGGUCGGCAGGGAAGAUCACCGAUUAAUUUGUGACACCACCUGCAGCAAAACUGUUCCAUGCUCGGUUUUGUCCCAAGAUCAUCUGAACUCAAGGAUGGUUGUAGGAGACCUAUUUUUCAACUAACUUGCUGUGAGACGGGAUUUGCUUGACAGAACACCGUUGUUACCAAGACCAGAGUAGCAACUGUCAGUCUCAGCAGUUUCUCCUCUUUCCUAUACUGUUCAAGUAAGUUCAAGAUCAUUGCACUGCUACAGUCAAGACCUCCUAAAAAUGCACUUGGAUAAUAAAAACUCACCAGUUAAUGUUGGGGAAAGAGGAUGACUUCUUUCUGUGUGCCUUGCCAAUAUGAGAGAGUAUUUAAGAACAGGAGCUCUCUCUGCAUUUUGUUGUGAACUUAUGCCAGGUAUGCUUUGGUCACUAUAUAAAUAAUAUUUCAAUAUUUGUAUGAUCAAUUAUAUAACUACAGUGAGCAACCACAAACUGCUGCAAACACAAAGUAAUUUGUUGUUGUUGUUGUUCUCGCCUUUGGAAAUAAAUUGCAGUACCUCCUUCAAAGUCAAGUUUGUUUCUUCAUCAUAUCCUAAGUAAGAUACCCCGUUUUCAAGGGAAUGUGAUGUACCUUCAUCCUUUGCAACAAAGGGUGACCUCACAGAGCCCACUGUGGAUACACAGUCUAUAACCGUUUCCAUUUGCAGCUGAUCUGAUGGAACACCUUGCUUAAAAGGACAAGGUUGUGAUUGCAGAGCAGCAUUUUUGCCCUGAAUUGCAACACAGCCAGUAGACCGUGCCUAUCACAUGCUGGACUGUGGGACUCAUAAAGCUCAAGUUACUCAGAACAAAUUUUACGUACAAUACGUAUUUUAAGCAAAGGGCUUGUGGAAAUCGUCACCAGGAGGAAAAAAUGUAUUCAGGUGGACUACACAAAUAUGUGUGUGCAGCCAUACCCAUGCAUUUUGGAGACAUAACCAUGUUGAGACCUAUGUUUUCCUCCUUCUGUGAUUCUGAAGAUCUUCUACAGCAUCACUUCAAGGUUUUACACCUGAAACGGGUUCAUUUUCACUUGUCUGAUGCACAUUUCCAGCCAGCAGCCGGGAGACCGAAGAGGAUUCAAUCCGCAAUUGUUCUGAAAGCACACAAACUGAAUAAAUGUUUAUAACCCUAAAUGGUGUCACCGCAGCAGAUGAAUGGCAGCAGAACAAUGGGCACCGAUGCACUCUUCAGGCCGCAGCCAAGUUCCCUAGCAACUACAGAGGAGCUGUGCAGCCUGCAGAGGUACUGUGAGUGCCAGCAGGCCGUUAUCUGAGAAAUGACUGAGAAAUGAUCUUAGUGCCGUAUUUCAUUGAGGAGAUACCAUUAAUCAAUUGCCUGUUUGUAAUUCACGGAUACCACUUUUUCCCUUUGGGUAAACUAUUAGGUAAGAAUUCCUCUGGCUAGCGAUUUCAUUGUUAUUUAGUUUCAUGUAUGUGUUAGCAUUAAUUACAUAGGUUUAAAGUUGUUUGAGUUCCAAGGAAAUAGCACCAGGUAGCUGCUAUGCUGUAAGAAAAGCACACCGAGCUGAAGUUUGACACUAAGCUAAACUGAUGUAAUGGCUGCUAAAAGCUUGAGUGCCAAUUGCUUCCUUGGUUUAGAACUGUGUUUUGAAACACGUAGAUAGGUACAAGGCAAAAGGGAAAAAGAAAAGCAAUGGCUUUAUCGAAGAGAUAUUGUUAUUUAUUAAAUCAGUUAAUCAUACGUUGCCAGCCUAAUUAAUAAUUGCUGGUGCAAGGAAUGCCACAGAUUAGGCUACACUGAUACCAUGUGCUCCAAACAGAUGAUAGAAAGUUGUACUCUGACCUUCCCAUGUGUCUGACCGCAACAGAGAACAGGUCACCCCAUCUUCUAUAACACUGCGCUCUCUGCUGCUCUGUUACUCAUUGUGUCAGGGGAGGGGCAGCUGGGGGUUAGGGACAGGGUCUGCACCAGAGGGGGGUGGGCAUGGAACGGGCUGCCCAGGGCUGUGGGCACUGCCCCCAUUGCUGGAGUUCAGAGAGCAUCUGGACAGUGCUCUCAGAUGUAGGGUCUGAUUUUGGGUGGUGCUGUGUGGAGAAUGGAGUUGGACUCGAUGAUCCUUGUGGGUCCUGUCCAGCUUGGGAUAUUCUGUGCUUCUAUAAUUCCACGAUUCUAUGAACCUAGGUGAGUUUCUUUACCAUUUUGUACAAUGAAGUCUUUCCUGCCCAACACUUCAUGUUUUUUGUAGGGGAUUGUGAAUUGUUCUUUACACACAUCUGGAAGUAGAUCGCCAACAUGUAGCUUUACUUCUACCCUGACAAACACUGCUUUCAGUCCGAUUUGACUGUCCGAUUUGACUUUUCCGUUGACCCCCUGCCUCCCUUCUCCAGGUGAGCUCACAACCUAUUUGUUAGAUUUAUCAUAUGCUACAGACUGGCAUCUACCUCUGUACUGAGGCAAGAAUUGUUAUCUUUGUAAUUUUUACCUUUGUCACAAAUAAAGGAAUUACCAUUUUA